AACUCGAGCAACGAAGGGUCAGUCAGCCAUAGUUCCAAGAGUACACGUGGGUGGAAGUGAAAGGUCGUGAAAAUAGAUGCAUUAUUCAAUGCCUAUGGGAUAAACACGAGAUUGAAAAAGGCUCGUCCCGCUCUCUCACUCGGCCAACAUCUCCGCCUCGCCGGAGGCUUCCUCGGCGGCGGUUUCCAGAAAUCAGCGACACUACCAUCAACUUAUUCGUCUCGAGAUCCUCUAACCGAAUACACAAAAUAAAGUUCCUAAUUCCCCAAGAAUCUCCCGAAUCGAAGGGAGAACCCUAAAUCCUAAUUCCUAUAUUAAAUGACAAUCGAACCCCAUCUCGAUCCAAAAUCAAAGGGUUAAUCGCCCUCGACCUCUCAACAAUCUUUUGAUAACGUAAAUUAGUGAAUAAAGGGAUGAAAUCAAGAAGACCUACCGGUGUUGAAAUCUCAGGGAUAGUAAUUGGAUAUGUUUCAAGGCAGUUUGUACUGCCGGCUUGGAAACGCAAGGAGAUCUGUGGUUUUAAUGCGGCCGUGCAAGCUUCAUGUGCGGCUCCUUCAUUUGUGGCAUAUAUGAAUGAUCACUGGUUGAGGCCAUGACUGAUUAGCAGUACUGCCAUCAAUUUGUAAUCACAUUAACAAAACCUUACGCCGUGCAUUUCUCUCAACAACGCCCUAUGGUAAAGCGCGGUAAUCACCUGGUUAUGUUAGUUAAUUAGAAAUUCUACUUAAGCUUCAUUUGGAUUUUACUACCAAUGCAGUUUGUUAAAAAUAAGUUGACUGUCAAUGAAAGGACUCGUCAUGGAACGUGAGUAUUGGGAGCUGUUACGUGUGCAUUGCAGGCCUGUACUAUGAACCGUCGUUGGCCUUGACUUAGAAUGUGUACGGUGUACUGGCUAUUGCAGAACUGGUUUUAUCGGCUUUGCAGGUUCACCGUAUUUCUGUGUUUCCGGCUGCAACAGAGUCGCGCUUCGGUUGCAGUUUUGCAGUUUGAACAUGCCGUCGUCGUUCCACAUGCUGCCGGUUUUCGUAUACAUCCUGCUGUUGUUUGUGGCCGGCUACUACGGUUUUGUUUGCGGCGGGGUUGGCUUCAUGAGCAAGAUGAAGUCGGCGCGUUGGUGAUGAAUUGUUGGAUUACUUGGUGGAUGGUUUAUUUUAAAAUGUGCAGAGCGAAAUUGUUUAUGAACCAAUGAAUUGGAAAUAAUUGUUUAUUGUUUUUAACGGUGUUUUGAUGUUAAGCUAUUACUCAAACGGAUCAUUAAUGCAGGUUUGAUUCCGUCGGUUUUGCAGGUUUUUGGUUGUGCACUUUAUGGAUUAAUUUGUUGGGGAUGAGUGAACCGUUAAUUUACCCAAGUCUUUCUGCAGAACUCUUACCGCCGUGUCACACGUUUGUCAUUUUCUUGGUAUCUUACCUGUUUUCUUCAAAUUCUGCAGGUGAAUGCCCAAGUUGGAUGUUGCUUUUGUUGCCGACAUGAACGAAAGAGUGCAGGAUACACGGUGUCGGCAUGUUACAAAAUAUGGCUUUUCUCUCCAUGAAUUCUUUGUAAUUUUGUCUUUCUCUCCAUGAAUUUUCAUAAGAAAGCUGUCACAACAAGUCAAUUAAAGGGUUUCUUCCUAUUGCUAAAAACAGGCUGCUGAAUGCGAUUCAAAAUGCCAGCGUAAUGAAAUGUGAUUCUAAUGCAGUGUCAAGAGAAUGAUGUUGAGUUAAUUUUGCGCAUGUUAGAACAAGGUAUGGUCCAAUAGAACUGACUCCAUAGAAGUUAUAUCUGACCCUGCUGUGUCUGCCAUGUUGCAGGUACAAACGAACGAACCUGGUAGUAGUUUACAUCCAAAGAGAUGCCGUGAGUCCUGGUAGCAAAAGGAUUAAUUGAUCCCUGGCGCUUAGUGGUUGAAACGGAACCGAAGUGGGCUUGGUGAUUGUUUUCCUGUUAUUACUUGACUUGGGUGUGCACCAUUAGAUUUAUCAAGUGAAGGUUGUGAAUGGUACAGUAUCGAUCAUAUUGGAUUGAAAUGUCAAAGCCAAAACUCAAUGGCGGUUGGAAGGCGGCUGGUUACACGGUUUUGUAGCGGUCACGGCAGGACAGGUUGCACCUUUUUCGGAGAUGUCUUGGAACGGGAGUUUGGAAUUGUACAGAUUUAAAGUACUUGGUGGCUCCUGAGCAUACCUGUUAACUCUAGAUUAUUUAGAGUUUGCACUUGAUUUGUUCAUAGGUAAAUUGGGUUGUAACGGAAUGAUAAACCAAAAUCGUAACCGAUUUAAAAGGUAGAAAUCAGUACUUAAGAGGGAAGUUGAACAA